UACGUAGGGGGCAAGCGUUGUCCGGAUUUACUGGGCGUAAAGCGCGCGUAGGUGGACCGAUCAGUCCGGUCUGAAAGCCCCCGGCUCAACCGGGGAGGGUGGCUGGAAACUGUCGUUCUUGAGGGCGAGAGAGGAGGGUGGAAUUCCUGGUGUAGCGGUGAAAUGCGUAGAGAUCAGGAGGAACACCCGUGGCGAAGGCGGCCCUCUGGCUCGACCCUGACGCUGAGGCGCGAAAGCGUGGGGAGCGAACGGG
rnacentral:rRNA from 1 species